rnacentral:tRNA from 1 species
GGAUCCUUAGCUCAGUGGUUAGAGCGGAGGUCUCAUAAACCUUUGGUCGCUGGUUCGAACCCGGCAGGAUCCACCA